GACGAACGCUGGCGGCGUGCCUAAUACAUGCAAGUAGAACGCUGAAGGAGGAGCUUGCUUCUCUGGAUGAGUUGCGGACGGGUGAGUAACGCGUAGGUAACCUGCCUGGUAGCGGGGGAUAACUAUUGGAAACGAUAGCUAAUACCGCAUAAGAGUAGAUGUUGCAUGACAUUUGCUUAAAAGGUGCAAUUGCAUCACUACCAGAUGGACCUGCGUUGUAUUAGCUAGUUGGUGGGGUAACGGCUCACCAAGGCGACGAUACAUAGCCGACCUGAGAGGGUGAUCGGCCACACUGGGACUGAGACACGGCCCAGACUCCUACGGGAGGCAGCAGUAGGGAAUCUUCGGCAAUGGACGGAAGUCUGACCGAGCAACGCCGCGUGAGUGAAGAAGGUUUUCGGAUCGUAAAGCUCUGUUGUAAGAGAAGAACGAGUGUGAGAGUGGAAAGUUCACACUGUGACGGUAUCUUACCAGAAAGGGACGGCUAACUACGUGCCAGCAGCCGCGGUAAUACGUAGGUGGCAAGCGUUAUCCGGAUUUAUUGGGCGUAAAGAGAGUGCAGGCGGUUUUCUAAGUCUGAUGUGAAAGCCUUCGGCUUAACCGGAGAAGUGCAUCGGAAACUGGAUAACUUGAGUGCAGAAGAGGGUAGUGGAACUCCAUGUGUAGCGGUGGAAUGCGUAGAUAUAUGGAAGAACACCAGUGGCGAAGGCGGCUACCUGGUCUGCAACUGACGCUGAGACUCGAAAGCAUGGGUAGCGAACAGG
rnacentral:rRNA from 1 species